rnacentral:lncRNA from 1 species
UGGGGAUGUUCUGGGGGUGUUUUGGGGAUAUUUUGGGGAUAUUUUAAGGAUGUUUUGGGGAUAUUUUGGGGACGUUCUGGGGAUGUUCUGGGGACGUUUUGGGGAUGUUCUGGGAAUGUUUUGGGGAUAUUUGGGGAUUGUCUGGGGAUGUUUUGGGGAUAUUUUGGGGACAUUCUGGGGAUGUUUCGGGGACGUUCUGGGGACAUUCCGGGGACCUUCUGGGGACGUUCCAGGGAUGUUUUGGGGAUAUUUUGUGGAUAUUUUGGGGACAUUCUGGGGACAUUCUGGGGACAUUUUGUGGAUAUUUUGGGGAUAUUUUGGGGACGUUCCGGGGAUGUUUCGGGGACGUUUUGGGGACGUUCCGGGGAUGUUUUGGGGAUAUUUUGUGGAUAUUUUGGGGACGUUCCGGGGACGUUUCAGGGACGUUUUGGGGACAUUCUGGGGACGUUUUGGGGACGUUUUGGGGAUGUUUUGGGGACGUUUUGGGGACAUUCUAGGGACGUUCCGGGGAUGUUUCAGGGACGUUUCGGGAACGUUUUGGGGAUAUUUUGGAGCCGUUCCGGGGAUGUUCUGGGGACAUUCUGGGGACAUUCCGGGGAUGUUUCGGGGCCGUUCCGGGGCCGUUCCGGGGCCGUUCCGGGGCCGUUCGGGCUCCGUACCUGCUCCUGCAGCGUGGCCGGGCCCCGCGAGCGCAGCCGCAGCGUCCCCCGGCCCGAGAGACCCUGGGGGGGCCCCCCCCGGGCCGAGACCCCCCCGGAGCGGGGCCCGACCCCGUCUGGGGACACAGGGGGGACACGGGGGGGACACAGAGGGGACACGGGGGGGACAUUGGGGACAUUGGGGGAACAUUGGGGUCACACAGGGGUCACAGAGGGGUCAGAGAAGGACAGAGGGGACAGAGGGGACAGGGAGGGGACACAGGAGAUCCCCACUGUGGGGGCACCUUCGGAACCCCCCCCAAUACAGCCCAGUAUGGCCCAGUGCUCCCAGUUCAUCCCAGUGCUCCCAGUACAGCCAUCCCAGUGCUCCCAGUACAGCCCAGUGCUCCCAGUACAGCCCAGUGCUCCCAGUACAGCCCAGUGCUCCCAGUACAGCCCAGUGCUCCCAGUACAGCCAGCCCAGUGCUCCUAGUACAGCCCAGUACUCCCAGUACAGCCAGCCCAGUACAGCCCAGACCCUCCCACUCAAUCCCAGUUCAAUCCCAGUCCCUCCCAGUUCAAUCCCAGUCCCUCCCAGUCCAUCCCAGUUCAAUCCCAGUCCCUCCCAGUCCCCCCAGUCUCACCCCAGGCCCUCCUGGGCUCGGUGAGCCGCAGCUGGAAGCGGUGCCCGCGG